ensembl:lncRNA
CCAUUAUAUCACAUAAAUGACUAUUAGUAAUAAUCAGAAGUGCCAUUUUGCUUUUUUACUAUUAUUACAUGUAGCACAGAAGUCUCUGCGAUACAGUCAUGUAUUUAUGGCAGUGCAGAGAGAUUAAGAAUGAACAUGCUAUCAGGGUAAGUCAAUGUAAAUGAGAUUCAGGGGAAACAUCAUCAAAAAACACAUCUAUUUCCCCUCAACAAGCCACAUUUACAUUAAUAGUCAUGUCAAGGAUGAGGUUGAUGAGUGUUCUGCUGCUGCAUUGCUGGGCUGUUGUGGGUUUCCAGGGUGCUGAUAUGCAGCCACAAAUGGUUUCUGAGGGUGAUUGCAUACAGUACCAAAAAUCUCCCUUCUUUUGAACACUUGUUCAAAUAACUAGUGAAAGAAAGUAAAUAUAUAUAAAAUAAAAAAAAUAAAAAAUUAUUGAAAGUAAAGUGACGUUUGGCCAAGUAUGGUGACCCGUACUCGGAAUUUGUGCUCUGCAUUUAACCUAUCCAAGUGCACACACUCAGUAGUGUACAUACACACCCGGAGCAGAUGGGGGUUCAAUUCUUACUCAAGGGUUUUAGCUCAAUCAUGGGAUUGAAGGUGGAAGAGAGCGCUGUUUUUUCACUCCCCCCACCUACAAUCCCUGCAGGACCUGAGACUCGAACCCACAACCUUCAGAUUACAAAUCAGAUUCUCUAACAAUUAGGCCAUGAGUGACCCGAUAACUAACGCUAACUAUUAGCAGAAACAGUAGAAACAGUUUUUAUUUUGACUGUUGUUGCUACUAACCCCUGGUUCAGCAGAGGCCUUGUGCUUGUAAAGUCUUCUGUUUCUGACUCCACACAGCGGCCCACCAUGAGCUCAGCACGAGCCAAAGAGCAGUUGGAGAACACAUGCAGGUCCAGCAUGUCCACCCGGUCUGCAGCGCGUAGCUCUCGAGCCGCACGCACUGGCGGUGAACUGCGCAAAUCUGAUAGACGAGUCUUGCUGGCCAUAGGACCCUUUCCGGGAAGAUGGAACUCCAGCCAGAAGGACACGGCACCAAACGUCUUCACUUCUUCAGGAAUGGAGAUUUUAAAAGCCGGACCUUUAGCUUGUUGACCAGGAAUCCGGCAGGCAAGCGGCAGGAUGAGAGUGGGCACGCGGCUUAUAGUGGAGUUAGGAUUGAUGCUGCGUAAAGUGUUGGUGUACAGCAAUUCUGAUCCUAAAUGCUGGAUAAUAUCAAAGAACAGAUAACAAAUGAAAUUAAAAUGAAAAUAAAAGAAGCAGCAGCAUUCU